rnacentral:tRNA from 1 species
AGCACAGUGGCGCAGUGGAAGCGCGCCGGGCUCAUAACCCGGAGGUCAUCUGAUCGAAACGGAUCUGUGCUA